AUGGCUCAUGUCGCCACCGCCCUCCAGCUGGUGCUGAGGGCCAACACCGCGGUCCUGGAUGACCGUCAGCACGCCAGACCCCUGCCCCCUGAGGGGCUUCAGCGGCAGGAAAAGCCCUUUAGGGACCGAGCAUCACCCCCGCACCCCCUGCGGCUGUCUCGCUCGCCUCACCCCGGGGACCCGGGAAGGCGUCUGCACUCCGGGAGGCACGGCACGCAGCCGGCCGCCUCCCAGCCCCCGGCCCCCACCAGCCACAUCGCCCAGCUCACACUGGUGGGGUCUCCGGGCAUCACGGCCCCCCGAGAGCCCCUCACCUGCCACCCGCUGCCAGGGACACGGCCACUGUUGCCUGGUCACGGAUGUGUAUCCGGGGCAGCGGCGGCCACGGCUCCGGGGCGGGACUCUGGCACCCGGGUAACCCAAAGACAUCGCCCCCAGCCCGUCCGGCACCUCUGGGCGUCACCCGUGGGGACCCCACGCCGCGGUCACGCGUGGAGCCCCCCCGGGGAGGCCCCUGCAGCAACGGGGGGCACACGGUGCUGCUGGCACGGUCAGGCUCAGAAAGAAGAAAGGAAGCACUGACUUUCAUUCCCAGAAAGGCUGAGAGCAGCAGAGGAGACAGAAAACAGGCUCUGGGCUGGAAGGUCCCCCCAGUGAAGGUGCAGGCUGGCCAGCCCUCGGCUCCUGGUAGAGCCAGGGAAGAUGCUGGAGGCAGAAGUGGCCCAGGGAGGGGAGAGCAACGCAAGCCUGGAAGAAGGCCAGGCUGCCCUGUUUUCACACGUUGCUGCAGCCUUUGAGCAGUUCUGGGCUGAGGUGAGCCGGGAGCUGAGCAGACACAGAGUGCAGCCCUCCUGCACCUGGGGCUGGUCCAGUCUCGGGCCCCUUCUGCACGCAGUGGCUGCCAAAGGGACCCUGGGACAGCUCGCCAUGGAGCUGCUCUCCCUGCUGGACAGGACAACUGGAAGAACUGGGUAAGCACACUCCUUGGCUUAUUUUGUCUGCAGCAGUGUCCUGAGUUGUUGCAGCCUUGCUCCUGAGAAAUCCAAGCAGCAGCUGAUACAGCAGUGGAUACCAAGCUGGCAGGGAGACAAACUGGCCUGAUCCCACAUGGCAUUUGGCUGCUGCAAAGGAUCCACUGUAAGGGGCUAGGCAAGAGUUUACAAGGGGUCAGCAGCUAUUAAGCGAAAAAACAGGCCAAAGGGAGUUAAUUUUGUAAGGCUGCUGCUGGCAAGCUCAGGCUCUGCUUUUGGAGCACGAUGCAGGAGCAGCUCAGGCUCUUCUCUCCUCCUCUUCACACCUACUCUCCAAUACCGACAGCAGACAUCAUCUCCAGCAGCAGCUAUUAAUACAGCAACACGAAUGCACUCAGAAGCACCUGGGAAAAGCAUUUUCCCAGUCAGGCAGAGCAUCCCUUCCCCUCCCCACAGCCGGUACUGCUGUGGCUGGAGCAAAACACAGCAGCUGCUCAGCACCAGGCACUAACAGUGCUUUUAACCGAUGGCAUGAGCUGUCCCCGUCGUCCCUGCCUCGUGCACCCUCUCCAGCACCCCUCUGGCCACGUCACAAGCUCCUGAAGCACCAG
rnacentral:lncRNA from 1 species